UACAGAGGUCCCGAGCGUUGUUCGGAUUCACUGGGCGUAAAGGGUGCGUAGGUGGUGGGGUAAGUCUCGUGUGAAAGCUCGCAGCUUAACUGCGAAAAGUCACGGGAUACUAUUCUGCUAGAGGCUUGGAGGGGGGACUGGAAUACUUGGUGUAGCAGUGAAAUGCGUAGAUAUCAAGUGGAACACCAGUGGCGAAGGCGAGUCCCUGGACAAGACCUGACACUGAGACGCGAAGGCGUGGGGAGCGAACGGG
rnacentral:rRNA from 1 species